UGCCGCGUGUGUGAAGAAGGCCCGAGGGUUGUAAAGCACUUUCAAUUGUGAGGAAAGGUUAGUCGCUAAUAUCGGCUAGCUGUGACGUUAACUUUAGAAGAAGCACCGGCUAACUCUGUGCCAGCAGCCGCGGUAAUACAGAGGGUGCAAGCGUUAUUCGGAAUUACUGGGCGUAAAGCGCGCGUAGGCGGACUGUUAAGUCGGUUGUGAAAGCCCUGGGCUCAACCUAGGAAUUGCAUCCGAUACUGGCAAUCUAGAGUUUAGGAGAGGGAAGUGGAAUUCCUGGUGUAGCAGUGAAAUGCGUAGAUAUCAGGAGGAACAUCAGUGGCGAAGGCGACUUCCUGGCCUAAAACUGACGCUGAGGUGCGAAAGCGUGGGUAGCGAACGGGAUUAGAUACCCCGGUAGUCCACGCCGUAAACGAUGUCAACUAGCUGUUGGCCUUAUUAAAAAGGUUAGUAGCGUAGCUAACGCG
rnacentral:rRNA from 1 species